CUGUAUCAGGGAGAUCCAAGAUCCUGAUGGAGGAGCUACAAGUCAGAAAGGGCAGUAAUGACAAGAGUCUGAGACAGGCUGGAGCAGUCCCUGCCUGGCAGGAAGAGCCUUCAUAUCUGCCAAGAGAGUAUGGCUAUGCUAGCUCUGAGUAAGAGCACAAUCGAUCCAAGACCACGGCUAUCCAGAUAUUGAAGAAGCCUCUUCAGAGCUCCUUGACUUGGGCAAAAGAAAUGAUCUAUAACUUGGCAUGAACAAGUGACCAAGAGUUAUGCAGUGAGUGAGAUCUUCUGACUCCAUGUCUCAUUCCUAUUUGGAUUUGAUCCUAACAUAAGUUGAUUUCUUUCAGCUGUUUAAAAAGUCAGGCUCUUUUUUUUUUUCAUGUUUGAAGAUCAGAGGUGUUCAAAUCAUUGCAUUUGAAUAGCCAAGGAUUAAUUUCGAUCUUGUGACAAUCUAAAGGCAGAGUUGUGAUCACGUCUGAGAUGGUCUGCAGGUAUUAGGUCAUCUAAACCAGGUUGUCAGGUCAAACAAUCCGUAUCCCUUCUGUACAUCUUCGUGUGUUACUGUUUCUCUAGGUCUACAUGGGGAUUUCCAUUUUCUAGUCUGCUGUCAGAAGGAAAAGAUUCUUCUCUGAUGUUUAUCUCUACUGACUGCACUUUCAGAGAAUAACUUCCAACUCAAUCCAUAAGCUUCCCCUUCACAGCCAAAGCCUGACAUGAACGGCUGGCGCUGUGGUAUAAAGGAUAAAGAUAAAGAUGCCACCUAGGAACCCAGCAGCUCCCUGGGAAUGUGUCUAAGAAAGCAGCUGAAGAUGGCCCAAGUGCUUUGGGCCCAGCCACCCAUGGGGGAGACCCAGAAGAACUCUUGGCUCCUGGCUUCAGACCAGCCCAGCUCCAGCUGUUCCUGCCAUUCAGGGAGUAAACCAACGGCUCUCUCCCUUUCUCUCUCUUUCUCUGUAAUUUUGUCUUCAAAAUUAAAAAAAAAAAAAGUCCCUUUAAACGUAAUUCAAUUUUUUCAAUAUUAAAAUACAAAAAAUUAAACUACCAAAUGUAAA